rnacentral:rRNA from 1 species
GACGAACGCUGGCGGCGUGCUUAACACAUGCAAGUCGAACGAAGCGGGGACGGGUGAGUAACACGUGGAUAACCUCCUCUAAGACUGGGAUAACUUCGGGAAACCGGCGCUACACCGGAUACUUCUAGAUGGAUCCGCGCUGCAUUAGCUAGUUGGUAAGGUAACGGCUUACAAAGGCAACGAUGCAUAGCCGACCUGAGAGGGGGAUCGGCCACACUGGAACUGAGACACGGCCCAGACUCCGACGGGAGGCAGCAGUGGGGAAUCUUCCGCAAUGGACGAAAGUCUGACGGAGCAACGCCGCGUGAGUGAUGACGGCCUUCGGGUUGUAAAGCUCUGUUAAUCGGGACGCGGUACCGGAAUAGAAAGCCACGGCUAACUACGUGCCAGCAGCCGCGGUAAUUC